GCACUUCGGUAGUACAUACAUUAAAAUUGGAAUGAUAUUUAGAAUAUUAACAUGGUCCCUGAAUAAGAAUGACACAAAAAUUGGACUUUGUACUGAACAUCUUC
ensembl:snRNA U6 U6 spliceosomal RNA